rnacentral:rRNA from 1 species
ACUCAAAUGAAUUGACGGGGAGGCGCACAAGCAGUGGAGCAUGUGGUUUAAUUCGAUACAAAGCGAAACACCUCACCAAGAUUUGACAUGUAUCUGCAAACCCCUAGAAACAGGGGAAUCCUUCGAGGGUGAUACACAGAUGCUGCAUGGCUGUCGUCAGCUCGUGGCGUGAGCUGUACCGUUAAGUCGGAAAACGAGCGCAACCCGCACCGCAUGUUAAAUAAUUCAUACGGAACUGCCCCACUUUGUGGGGAGGAAGGCGCGGAUGACGUCAAGUCAGCACGGCUCUUACAUCUUGGGCUACACACAUCCUACAAUGGCGAAUAACAACGAGUUGCAAACUGGUAACAGCAAGCUAAUCUCUGAAAUUUCGCCUCAGUUCAGAUCGGGGUCUGCAAUUCGACCCCGUGAAGUCGGAAUUGCUAGUAAUCGCGAAUCAGCAGGUCGCGGUGAAUACGUUCUCGCCUCUUGUACACACCGCCCGU